CACGUAGGGCGCAAGCGUUGUCCGGAAUUAUUGGGCGUAAAGAGCUCGUAGGCGGUCUGUUGCGUCCGCUGUGAAAACUCGGGGCCUAACCCCGAGCCUGCAGUGGAUACGGGCAGACUAGAGGUAGGUAGGGGAGAAUGGAAUUCCCGGUGUAGCGGUGAAAUGCGCAGAUAUCGGGAGGAACACCGGUGGCGAAGGCGGUUCUCUGGGCCUUACCUGACGCUGAGGAGCGAAAGCGUGGGGAGCGAACAGG
rnacentral:rRNA from 1 species